CGAUGUCUAACAUAAUAAAGCAGUCUUUUGAUUCUUCUUCAGUUGAACAGGAUAGAAGAAAGGAAGAACCAUUUUCAGAAAUCAGAUCAACAGAACAGAUCUACUCACAAAAACAAUCAGAAC
rnacentral:lncRNA from 11 species